rnacentral:rRNA from 1 species
GAUAUUGGUCAAUGGGGGGAACCCUGAACCAGUGACACCGCGUGAGGGAAGAAUGUUUNCGGAUUNUNAACCUCUGUCUUCGGGGNCGAUAAUGACGGUACCCGAUGAGGAAGCCACGGCUAACUACGCUCCAGCAGCCGCGGUAAUACGUAGGUGGCAAGCGUUGUCCGGAAUUACUGGGUGUAAAGGGAGCGUUGGCGGGAAGGCAAGUUGAAUGUUAAUUCUAUCGGCUCAACCGAUAGCCGCGUUCAAAACUGUCUUUCUUGAGUGAAGUAGAGGCAAGCAGAAUUCCUAGUGUAGCGGUGAAAUGCGUAGAGAUUAGGAGGAAUACCAGUGGCGAAGGCGGCUUGCUGGGCUUUUACUGACGCUGAGGCUCGAAAGUGUGGGGAGCAAACA